UACGUGGGGUGCAAGCGUUGUUCGGAAUUACUGGGCGUAAAGCGCGUGUAGGCGGUUCGCUAAGUUCGAUGUGAAAGCCCUGGGCUUAACCCAGGAACUGCAUUGAAAACUGGCAGACUUGAGUCCGGGAGAGGGAUGCAGAAUUCCAGGUGUAGCGGUGAAAUGCGUAGAUAUCUGGAGGAAUACCGGUGGCGAAGGCGGCAUCCUGGACCGGCAUUGACGCUGAGGAGCGAAAGCCAGGGGAGCAAACGGG
rnacentral:rRNA from 1 species